rnacentral:rRNA from 1 species
CAACUUUCAACAAUGGAUCUCUUGGCUCCGGCAUCGAUGAAGAACGCAGCGAAAUGCGAUAGCUAGCGUGAAUUGCAGAUUUCAGUGAAUCAUCGAGUCUUUGAACGCACAUUGCGCCCCAGGGAAAUGCUCUGGGGCACGCCUGUUCGAGCGUCAUAU